UCCGAGUUGUCCCCGGCAGUCUCCCAUGAGUCCCCGCCAUUACGCGCUGGCAACAUGGGACAGGGGUUGCGCUCGUUGCGGGACUUAACCCAACACCUCACGGCACGAGCUGACGACAACCAUGCACCACCUGUAUAGGACGCCGAAGCACACCACAUCUCUGUGGCUUUUCCCUAUAUGUCAAACCCAGGUAAGGUUCUUCGCGUUGCAUCGAAUUAAUCCACAUGCUCCGCCGCUUGUGCGGGCCCCCGUCAAUUCCUUUGAGUUUCAUUCUUGCGAACGUACUCCCCAGGUGGUAUGCUUACUGCGUUAACUGCGUCACUGAACCCAAAGGCCCAACAACUAGCAUACAUCGUUUACAGCGUGGACUAC
rnacentral:misc_RNA from 1 species